CAUUUAGAUAUAUAUUUUAAAAUUCAAAGAUUUAAGGAAAAAUCACAAAACAACUCACACAUAUAUGCGGGUUCUUCCCUUGCCCCAACCUCGAGCAAGGCUUGUGUGCGGGAAUGUUUUUCGCAGACACCCAUUCUCGAGCAAGGCUUACGUGUGGUCGUACUUGCUGAAAUUCCUCUAGUCAUGGGCUCUAUAGUCUCGUGGGAUUUUCACUCGCGGGCAUCCCCGCAAGCAUCCCCACGGACAUGCAAGUUGCUUGUCACGAAUUAUUCACCGAAGAGACACCACUCACACAGGCACCCAAGGCUCUGCAGGCAAACUCCUUUCUUCCCUUGCUAGGUGUCAACCAAGUAGCUUUCCUCUUUAGUUCUGUUAGCCACCCAAGCCUCCAACGGCCUGGACACAUUGCAUGUAAUCCAAGCCCAAGGAUGCUUUGAUUGGGAGGUAUAAAAUCUUGUUUCCUUUAUGUUCUCUUCUUUAGUUCUUCAUUCCUUCAAGCAAAUAGAAAACUACAAAGAGAGAGAGAGAAAGAGUGAAAGCUGAGUGUUCUAGUGCGAGCUGAGAGCAGGAAACUGAGUGUGCUUCUGAUAAACAACUUUUUCUCCUCUGAGGUGAGUUUUUUCUCUUUUAUUUUAGCCGAUUGACUCUCCCUUCCUGAUUGUUUAUUCAUCCUUUUUUACCCAAACCCAGAAACCUUCUUUCAGCUUCGACCAAAGCUUCUUCUGCAACCAGAACAGAGCCGAACCGGACUGUUCAAGUAAGCAUGUUAUUCCUCUUCGAUUCUUGUUUCCUUUUGAUUAAAUUAGUCCCUUUAAGUUUUAAGUUAAGUUUAAAUUAAAUCCCUGUGGGUAAAAUAACCCAAAAAUUACAAAUUCAACUUAAAAACCCUACUGACACGGCAACCGUUGCACAUGCAUUUUGCUAGCUGUUAUUCUUACAGUUUAGGUCGAUUUCCAUAUGCAUUUGGAGUGUUUAGACCUUUUGUUGUAGAAUAAGAUUUGUGGUAAUUUGUUUCUACAAGCAUUUGGUUUUAUAGAUGCAUGUAGGAUGAUUAAAUCUUUGGAAAAUGCAUGUCCAUUUACUGUUUUAACUUAUGCAGAGAGUAUGUGUGUUGCAUCCAUGAUUUUGAUUAUUUAAUCUUGUUUUUUGUGAUGAUUUUGACGGAAUUUGAUUAUUGGAUGUUUGUAUGACGAUUAUAAGUUGAUUUCAUAUGCUAAAAUGAAAAGAAAAAUAGAAAUUUAUUGGCAAACAGAAGACCAAUGCCUUUGUCUGCAUUGCCCAAUACCAAUAUGCCAAUAAAGGGGGCAAACAUAGGCGAUCGUGUGCGAUGGUGCGCACGGGGCACUGUCAAGGCACCCAAAAGUGUCAGGAUAUAUCCCCUAACACACUGCACAUGCGAAGCACACUGCACAUGCAAAGCACACUGCACAUAGGCAAAGAGUCCCUGCCAGGCACCCUUACUGUGCCGAGAGAACCUUCAUGAGGCACUACUUGUACCGAGUGAUGUGCGUGCAUACACACAGAGACAUACCCCCAGAUGGGCACAAACUGUCGAGGCAUGCACCCCACUGGCAAGCUACUAUGCACAGUAAGCCAUGCAAGGCAUAGGUACUCUUAAGCAUAUGCAUAUUCUGAGAGUGCCAUAGGCCAAGGUACAUUAUACCGCAGGUACAGGCUUACACGAUUUUAUCCCUCAGCCACGAGUGCGAGGGCAAAAUGCCGAAAAACAUAAAAAGGAAUUGGAUUUGAAAAUUUUGAAAUUAAAUUUUAAAUUGAAAUUGAAAAAUAAAUAACUAAAAUUACGUUUUAAAAUUAAACACAGUGAAAUAAAAUAAUUGAGUUAAGUUUGAAACUAAAAAAGGUAAAAUAAUUAGAAAUCAAAAAGAAAAAUGGGCAAUAAAAUAUGAAUUUUGAACAAAAUAAAAAUCUAAGAGAGUUUGGAAAUGAAUUUUAAGAAAUUGGAAAUCAAUUAAAAAAUUAUUAAAUUCUGAGUUAAGGAAAUUUAAUAAGAAAUUUGAAGAAUUGGAAAGUAAGANNNNNNNNNNNNNNNNNNNNNNNNNNNNNNNNNNNNNNNNNNNNNNNNNNNNNNNNNNNNNNNNNNNNNNNNNNNNNNNNNNNNNNNNNNNNNNNNNNNNNNNNNNNNNNNNNNNNNNNNNNNNNNNNNNNNNNNNNNNNNNNNNNNNNNNNNNNNNNNNNNNNNNNNNNNNNNNNNNNNNNNNNNNNNNNNNNNNNNNNNNNNNNNNNNNNNNNNNNNNUGCAGCCUAGCAAGCCGCGCACUCAAGAAGAACAUGCGGCCCAUGCCGCAUGUCCCUGCAGGUGGGCUGACCAAGGCCCAUCGAGAAGACCCAAAGACCAGCCCUCACCCCAAGGCCCGAUCCAGCGAACCUGCACCCGAGAAGAAGGAACGAGGCUGAACACUUGUGAGGCGAGGAGAAACCUGCACAGGCCGCAUACCCGUGAGGCCUAAAAGCUGCGCACGUGAGCCCGACCCGAGCCGCAUGCACGUGCGGGCUCCCCUAGCCCGUUUGGAUGAGGUUGAGGUGUGGUGAGUUUUUUGGAUUUUUUCAAAUGGCCCAUGUGAUUUUUUUUAGCCCAAAAUUUUCAAAUUUGACAUGGUAAUUAUCGUUUUAAUAUUUUAUUAUUAUUUUUAAAUUAAGGAUUAAUUAUAUAAUAUUUUAAUCAUGAAAUUAUCCUAAGCUAUUAUUUUAUUAUAUUUUUUAAUCUUUAUUAUUUAUUCUAUUAUUUUAAUUUGAUUUAUAUGGAUUUCAUAUAGGAUAAAUAUGAGCUUAUUUUAAUUAUUAUUUUAAUAUAAGUCUAUCUUUUAGGAUUAUUUAAUUAAUUUAUUUAGGAUAGAAUAAUUAUUUUAUUUUGUAAUUAUCGCAGAUUAAGAUAAAAUUUUAUCGAGGGUAUUAUUUUAUUAAUUAUUUUAAGAUUUUUGUAUUCAUCUAGAUUGCCUGGAAAAAGGCUAUAAAUAGAUCUUUGCCCCUAUGAUGUAAAACACACCUUUGAAAAUAAAUUUGAGAGAAUUCUUGAGAGAUUCGACUUUUCUUUCUUUUAGCAUUUUGCUAAAAUUAGCUUCUUCAAGUUCUUCGAGAAGUAGGAGUCUUCAAAAGUCUUAUUGAGCUAAGGAGCGAGGAUCAACUUAUCAGUAAGUCCGUGACAUUUUUCUUUUCUUUAUUUUAUUUCUCUAGUUUUUGUUUUUCUUUUUCUUUUAGGAUUGUGGAUUCAAUUAGAGGGAAGGGUUUUAUUCUAGAUGGUUAUUGUUUCGGUAUUGCAUAUGUUGAGUGGGUUUCAGGAGUAAAUUCGAUCCUCGCCAUACCCUCCCGCAUCGUUUGUCUAACCUAGGUUUGGGGUUAAGUCUAGGUUAGAUUUAAAUAAAAUCAAGUAAUAAAGCAAGUAUGUGUCUAAUAAGACGUAAUGAACAAAGUUGUGUAGUAAAAAUUUUUUACCCUUUGAUAUGAUCCUGGAUGACCCUAAUUUAGUUCUAAUGAUGAAAUCCUAUAUCAAGGAGGAACCCCAUAAAAAUUCGAACUCCUGCAGAAUAAUUAUCUGCGAGGCUGCUGUAGCAUGAGAUCAUGCUCAUACAGCACAAUAGACGUGCACACAAAGGUCCCGCAAGUCCUGUCCCAAACAAGCAAGUCCAGAAUUCCUUUGUUUCCUAAAUGGGAUUAGCUCAAAUAGGAAAUUAAUGUCUAGUUUCCUAAACGGGAACACCCUGAAUUGGAAAGUAACUUCAUGGAACUAUUCUAAGGAGUGGGCCAGUAAUGCUUCAUGGGCUUGGAGAAGUUAUAAGGAAAGAAGAAAAGCCCAUUUAUGGCCUAACCCAAGGUGGCCCAAAGACCUCAUGGCCAAAAUGGUCCAAGGCCCAAAAGAGCAUGGUGGAUAGAAGGUGCCACGCAUGUGACACCCCUUUGGCACAUGUGCGAGUAACCACAUGUGUAAAAAUGUCCACCUGCACACACGGGAGCCUCACCAGUGCUAGGAAGCAUGCAACCAAGCCAACCUGCACGCGUUGAUAUAUGCGCAAGACACGUGCAUGUGUGUAGGCAAUCAGUCACGCGCCCCGUGACCUAUGCCUAGAAAGUAGACUGCCUAGCCCAACUGGCAGAUCCAUGUUACCCAUUACCCAACUGGCCCAUUCGGGCAUCUCGUGGCCUAGCCCAUGCAAUCUGUGAUCCAGCCCGUGCCCCGACAACUAGCCCAAGUAGUCUUUUUUCCUACUACUUUUCAGACUCCAAAACUUCAAAAUUUUCCUACUUCCACAAGGUAUCCAAGUUCCCAAAUUUCCCCAUGCGCAAAAUAUGUCAAUUAUGCAUGUGAAAUUCUACUCAAGGUUGAAGAGAAGAUAUCGAAGAGGAGACCAUUAUUUAGUAUUAUUUAAUUAAUAUUUUAAUGUAAGACUUAUCCAUAGAAUUAAUUAAUUAUUAUUUAGGAUUUGGAUAAGGAUAGGCAUUUCUUUAAUGUAUUUAAAUUCAAAUUAAGAUAGAAUUUUAUUAUUUAAUUAAUUAGGUAUUUUUUUCAAUUAAAUUAGGAAUUAGAAUAUGGAUAGGAAUUCUAAAUCCUAUUCCAUGUAAAAGUAGUAAUUAAGAGUCUAUAUAAAGGUCGUGGUUCAAGUAUUAUAAACACAAUCUUCUAAGAACUAAUAAAAUUAAGUUUUGAGCUUUUAUCGACAUUGUGCUAAGUUUUCUCUUCAAGUUCUUCCAAGUUAGGUAAGCUUGCCGAAGUCUUAAUUGAGCCAAGGAGUUGGGAUCGACUUAUCGAGUAAGCUCGUGGCAUCUUUCUUUUCUUUAUUUUUAUUUCUCUAAUUAUUUUUUUACAUUCCUAAUUUUUAGGGUUGUGAAUUCAAUUAGAGGAAGGGGUUUUAAUUAGGUUGUUUGAGAUUUGGUAUUGCAUGCGAUUGGGUUAAGGUUCUAGGAGUCAAAAUGAUACUCCCCAUACCCUCCUGCAUCACCUGUUAUCUAGGAAUAGUUAUUUAUUUGUAUGUAUGUAUGCUUUUGAACCUAUAAAUGGGUUUUCUGUGUCCCCUCGUGGAUGAAUGUUUAGUUUAGCUGAACAUUUUGGUUCAGUGUCUUAUGCACGGGGAUUGGACAAGGCUACCGGGGUGGUUGAGUGUUUUGUUGGAAUGUCUGUUUUAUUUUCUAUGUCCCCAUUUAUAGUGUUAUUUGGUGUAUCUAUCCUCCUAGGUAUAGGUUUAGAUAGCUGCGUAUGUAGAUAUGUAAAUAAUGUAACUUAAUAAAAAAUUAAUAAUGCAGUAUUAAGACUGUGUUAGAGGAUGAGUCAGAGUCUAAGUCCAAGUGUGUGAGUUAGUGAUCUAAUUUGAUUCUGUUGUGAGAUUUGAUCCGAUCUGAUCUGUUCUAUUCUGAUGCCUCUAGGCUAUGAUGCGUUUUGCAUGAUGGUUUUUGUUUGGGUUCUUUAAUAAUAUGAAAUGNNNNNNNNNNNNNNNNNNNNNNNNNNNNNUACUGAGUUUAUAGAACUCACCACAACUAUGAUGCUUAUUUAGACCCAUUCCAUGAUGCUUAGUGGAAGUGUUUGAAGACUACUCUUUUGUAUUUUGUUUUUUGAUAGGCUAGUGUAACACCCCAAAAUAUUUUGUGCUUAAUUUAUAACGUGAACCUCAAUUUUGUCUAAGGCCGUUUAAACUUUUUAACUUUCAUAUUUUAAAUUUCUGAAUGAAUUUCAUAUUUUAGUUUUAUAAUUAUUUAGUUAAAAUAAUUAUUAAAAUUAUUUUUUGAUAAUUUAUUUUUAAAUUUAAUUAAAAAAAUUUAGGGAAAAACGGAUGAAAAACAACAAAAAAUCUCGUGGGAAUGCCCAUGGGAAAGACCUCGCCUGUGUGGGCUCUGUCCAUCAUGCGAGCAAGCACGUGCGACCAUCACAAGACGUGCGCUUGUGUGUAAGUCCCAUCUAUACGGGGCACGAGGUGCGGUCUGCAUGUGAUUCCCAUCACAUGGAGACGGGUGUGCUGCUCCGCGAGCCUUGUGCAUGACGGUCCGCUUGUUAUGCCUGCACGCAAAAGGCCUACACGCAAUAAGUCUAUGUACGGAAGGCUUGCGCACAGUAGACCUAUGCAUGCGGCUUGUUAGGGCUGUGCAGCAAGCUGGGGCAGUGAACGCUUCCUCAUGCAAAGCGUGCUGCCCCCUUAGGUGUCGUGCACUGCCUUCGGGCGUCAUGUGCUGCCUUCGGGCGGUAUGCCGCUAUCAACUUGGGCAGUGUGCUGCUGCUAGUUUGGGCGACAUGCUACUAGUUAUUUUGGUGGCGUGCCUUUGGUUUUUUUUCCAUCGUCACGUCACGUCGUCUAUUUGUCAGUCACAUCCGUUGAUCGUAACAUCUCAUCAUUUCACCUUGACUUCUCUCUCUUCACCAGAUUUUACCACUUGGCACAAAUCUAACGGUCUCCAUUUUCUAUAAAUAGGGACCCCCAUCCACUUCAUUCUUCCAUCCACCAUAGGGUUUGAGAGAGAGAGAGGGUGAUCUAUAAAAAGAAUGAGAGGAAAAGAAGAAGAAAAAGGCGUAGGAAAUACCAAGGUUUUGGUAAGAAAUUUAGUAUUUACUUUUAACACACUAUGGAGUAUUUUUAGAUUAAAUUAACGAAAUUUUAAAUAAUGUGAUUGCAUGCUUAAUUUUAUGUGCUCAAACAAAAUUAUUACAGGUAAAUUCAUAUUAUAUGAGUAUAUAUAUAAAUUAAUUAUUUGCAUGUUUAACUUGCAUAUGGUAAAUGUUGAGGCAUGAUGAAUUAUACGACGAUGAAAUAAUGAGGCAUGAAGUUUAUUUUAAGCAUGAGAAAUAUGUAUCGAUAUCAACAUACAUGAGUCAUAAAAUAUUUUUGUUAGCCUUUUUAGCUCUGAAGGGUUUCCAUUUUUCCCCAUUUGGUCUAAAAAGACAUGAUAGGAUCGUUCCCUGUGGAUGACGGCAUACCCUCUGACGAGAGUGGUGAUGCGAUAUGAUUGUAGGGGUCACCUUUGGCAAAGUACGGUUGUGGCCAUAGUUUACAUAUAAGACCACUGUGGUUGGUAAGUCUGUGGUCAUAUAUCGUGUCAUGGUUUGGUAAGCUGUAAAUAUGUUGUUGGUUUGGCAAGCUGCAAAUUGAUGUUAUAAUAUAAAUUGAAUUGGUCCUUCCACAUGGGUAGUCAGAAUGAUUUCGCACAAAGAAUAAAAUGAAAUAAAGAGUAUGUCAUGAUUCUUUUUAUUUUUUCAACUUUCAGUAUGAUUGAUUUAAUUGAAAUGAUAUGACUAUGAUAUGAUAUGUAACAUCCCGCUCAUCAUCGUGUUAAAUUUGUACCUAAAAAUCUCUAUUUAUUUGGGUCUUAAGGCCACUUAAACUCAUUUAAAUUUAUCUCGUAGUUUUAUAUCGUGUUUCGUGAUUUAAAUUCGUAAUUUUAAUUUAUUAUGAUGUCAUUAUUUUAUUUAAUUUUAUUUACUAUUAUUUUUAUUUUUAUUUAUUAUAAAUGAUUUUCAGGAUGAAAUACGGUAAAUGGGUGAAAUCCCGUGGGAAAACACCUGCAAAAAAGACCUGCUCGUGCGGGCAUCCCAUCAUGCACAUAUAGGCUAGUCCGACGCGUCACAUAGAGCAUGAAUAAGGCCAGGCGUCGUUCGCCCUGUGUGCAUGUCGUCCACGCAGUAAGCCUACAUGGAUAGGCUUGCAUGCAUGGGCUUACGCGUAGUGGGCCUGCAUGCUGUAGGCCUUAUGCGUGGUAUGAUAGGCCGACACCUACAGGCUAGGCCUACAGCCUGCGGUUAGCCUGGGGAGGCGCACUGCCACCUAGGGCACUGUGUCGCUGCCCCUUGAGAACCGUGCGUCGCCCUUGGCAAUGUGUUGCCACUGUCUCUGGUGGAGAGCUGUUGCCGGUUGAGCAUUCUUCUUGCGUUAUGUCAAAUCACUCAUCUUCUACUCAACUUUCUCUCCCCUCACCAAAUUUUGCCACUUGGCAUAAAUCCAACGGUCCCUAUUUUCUAUAAAUAGAGACCCUUUUCUUUUAUUUUCCUCAUCCUUCCAAUUCAUUCUUCCAUCCUCCAAGAGCUUAGAGAGAAAGGGAGUGAUCUAGAGAGAGAAAGAAAGGUAUAGGAAAACUUCAAAGUUUCAGUAAGAAAUUUAGUAUUUCCUUAAACAUCUUAAGGAAUAUUUCUAGAAAAUAAAAAAUUAUGAAGUUUGUGUUUUAUAUUUUUCAUGAUUUAUGUUUAAUAGUUCCAAUAAAGUGAUUAGUUCUUGAUUUCAAGCAUGCUAUGUGAUCUUAUAAGCACUUAAUGAUUUGCAUGUAAAUUAAAUAACAUGAAUAUGGUGAUAAUUGUCUAAAAAGUAUAAAAAAAAAGGGAAUGAGCCUAAAAUGGUCCGAAAAAUAAAUGUAUAUGUAUUGACAUGCAUAAAGCAUCAAGUGUUUCGUUAGGCUUUUUAUCUCUGAGUGGUUUUUGUUUUUUCCUCCCUCAUCUGAUCUAGAAAGAUGUGAGAUGACCGCUCCUUAUGGAUGACGGUGUAUUCUCUUACGAGAGUGGUGACGUGAAUAUCUGUUAAGGGUCACCUUUGGCUAAGUACUGUCGUGACUAUAAAAUAUCUGAUAGGACCGCUGUUGUAGUAGCCUAGAACUAGAAAUGAAAUAAGUUAUAAAUUGAAUGCGGAAGCGAAAUAAUAGUGUUAGGAUUUACAUUCCUUACACAAUAAUUCAGAAUACUCAAUAGGGAUACGGGAAUGACCCUUCUAAAAGAACAACGAAAAAUCAAAGAAAUAAAUGGGAAGUAAAUAACUGGACAUCCUAUUCACAACCCUCUUGUGGAUCGAGAUAUGGAUCUUGGUCCUCUUGAUCUGAAAUUGUUAAUGAAAGAGUGAGCUACACUAGUCUACUAAGAAUGUCACACUACUCACUGAUAUAGAAAUGAAGAUUGGUAAAAAUCAUGAAAACAACUAAUGGAGCUCUUAAUUUAAGUAAAUUCAUUUAUCAUGAAUAAAAUCAUUUAUUGUCUACUUACCGUAGCAAGAUUUUCAAAACUGAGUUAUAGAGGCAAUAACACAAACAAUAUCAUAAUCUAUAUUCAACUAAUCAGAACAACCACUUUUCCUUUUUAUCUGCCUACUGAUAUCUAUGGGGGUCCGUAGGGAUGUUCCCACUACGCGAAAAUCCUUAUUCAACAUUGUCAACUAACCGACCGUCCCCAUACCCCGUCUGGCAGGAGUGCUAAAAAUAUCAUCCCUCAAUACCACGUGUGGUAUGAGGGUGAAACGGGUCAUCUCCAUGCCCCGUCCAGUAUGAGCACCAAAAUACCAAUCCUCAAUACCCCAUCCAGUUCGUCCACCAUCUCUCAAGAUAUCCAGUAAAGCUACCAUUCACUCAUUCACCUAAUCAAACAAUUCUUCGUUUAUAUUUAAUUUCUGGUUUGACAAUUUAACUGUAAAUCACGCAAAACAAGCAAUACAUGCAUAAAGAAAAUACAUAUGAAUUAUCUUACCAACUCUAGCGUAUUAUCAUGCAUUUAAAACUGUAAAAUUAAUCAAUCGGUUAAAACAGGAUAAACAGUGAUAAAUGACCGGUUCUGUCUCCUUUAGUAGCAUGUGAUAAAUUAUCGAUAUUUUUUAAAUUACGCAAAAUGUCGUAUUAUUUAUAAUUAAACUUUAAUUCCAUAACAAAGAAUAGGGUGAGGGAUUCUUACCCGAAUUGGUGUCUGAACACUAAACUUUUAGCUGCGCCUACUAACGGUCCCUGGAUUCCUUAAAUUUUCUUUUGGAGAUUAAAACACGCUUUAAGUACCUAUAAAUACCCCAAAAAAUCCAAAAUCGGUGUUAAAAUCCUUUUCUGGCCAAUUUUGGAAUUCUGGUAUGGCAACAGUUUGCCUCGAAAUUGCCAUUUUCGGCAAGUUUUGGCCGAUUUCAACCGAUUUUAUACUAAUCCCUAUGAGAAAACACGUUAAGGGGCCUCGGUUGGCUGGAAAAAGUCGAAAAAUAAAAGCUUAUCGGCGGCAGGGUUUUCUAGUGCGGCGGCUCUGCCAGGUCACCUUUGCGGUUGGACUUUUUCUUUAAUGAAUCUAUGAGAAACAGAAUGGUGAAUACAAUGGUGGAAAAAUCUCAUGAAACGGGAAUGAGGAAGGACCUCAUCAAAGGUAGUUUUUUUAUUUUUCCCGCAGCGGUGCCGUCGGACUUUACCCGCAGUUUUUGGCUCAUCUGUCGGUCCUUUUGUUCUGAUUUCGCCAUAGGGGUAUUCAAAAUCAAAUUUCGAGUGAAUUAAAUUUUUUUUACCUUUUUUAACAGUCAGAGGUGACUCCGGCACGGCGAUGGGCUGCAGUCAGCUUCAUUCUCCAGCGACUGGCUCUUCUUCUCCGGCGGGGGGCUGGCGGCUAGGUUUAGGGUUCGGUGUGAAGUGAUAUAUUGAUAUUCAUCUCCCUUUAAUCUAGAUCGUCUAUCAUGUUUGAUCUCGACCGUCCGAUCGCNNNNNNNNNNNNNNNNNNNNNNNNNNNNNNNNNNNNNNNNNNNNNNNNNNNNNNNNNNNNNNNNNNNNNNNNNNNNNNNNNNNNNNNNNNNNNNNNNNNNNNNNNNNNNNNNNNNNNNNNNNNNNNNNNNNNNNNNNNNNNNNNNNNNNNNNNNNNNNNNNNNNNNNNNNNNNNNNNNNNNNNNNNNNNNNNNNNNNNNNNCGUCUAUCAUGUUUGAUCUCGACCGUCCGAUCGCAUUUAAAAAGAAAAUAAAUCUUUACAGUUCAUCGCGAUUUGAUCUAGUCCAUCCGAUCGGAUUUAAAGAGGGAACAGAUUCGAACCAUCCACGCGCGCGGGAACAAAUCUGGACCGUCCAAUCAUGGGCACGCGAAUUACCAACGUGGCCCCUCCGCAUGGCAUCGAAUCAGCGUGCCUUGCCACGCAGCGCACUCCGGUUUGUCGAGACUGCUGAGUGGGGAUCCUACGUGGCACAUAUUUUUUAAAUUAUGUUUUGACCUCCAUAUUCUAAUUUUUCUUUCAAAAACACCCCCAUACCUUGUAUGGGUAUUUUGUAUCUUGUUGCCACUUCUGGUCUCAGUUAUAUAUAUAUGUAUAAUUAGAAACUCAUAUAUUUUAGUAAAGGAUUUGUAAUACUUUGCCCCGUUGCAUACAAUUUUUAUCAUGCACUCGUAAUAUAUUUUUAUAUCUAGCACCCUUAUACCUUAAUUUGCAUUGAGGAUGUCACAUGAUAGAAUUGAUACUUUUUUUAGUAAAAUAAAUAGUUUUCAUAAUUAAUAAAGAAUCCCUUAAGUGACUCCUGAUGGUAAGUAAUGAUGGUAUUUCUUAGUUUUAAUUUACCUUUGAAUUCUUAGUGAUGUUAUUUAAAUAUUAUUUUUCUUACUGAGUAUAUGGAACCCAACCUUUUUCAUGCCCCCUUUCAGAUGAGGAAAAUAGUGAGGAACAAAUCGCUAAUCUACUCCUUGAAGCUUUUGAGAAUCCUGCGGAUCCA
rnacentral:lncRNA from 1 species